ACGGGUGGCAGCAGUUUCGAAUCAUUCACAAUGGGCGAAAGCCUGAUGGUGCGACGCCGCGUGAGGGAUGAAGGUCUUCGGAUUGUAAACCUCUGUCACUAGGGAAGAAACGUUGAAUCCUAAUACGAUUCAGCCUGACUUAACCUGGAGAGGAAGCAGUGGCUAACUCU
rnacentral:rRNA from 1 species